UACAGGGGGUGCAAACGUUGCUCGGAAUCAUUGGGCGUAAAGCGCACGUAGGCGGUCUGUUAUGUCGGAUGUGAAAGCCCUUGGCUCAACUGAGGAAGUGCAUCCGAAACUGGCAGGCUAGAGUACUAAAGAGGAUCGCGGAAUUCCCGGUGUAGAGGUGAAAUUCGUAGAUAUCGGGAGGAACACCGGUGGCGAAGGCGGGUCUCUGGGCCGAUACUGACGCUGAGGAGCGAAAGCGUGGGGAGCGAACAGG
rnacentral:rRNA from 1 species